GUGACGAAAUUGAGAGCUGCGCGGGGCUAUGGCCUGUGCGUUCUGAGCAACCUCCCAGCAAGCAUUCUUGCGACAUGCGGGCACUUGCUUUGUGGCUGUGUGAGAACCAGCUCGAACUGAUCGCAAACACAAGACGUGUGCCGGACGGACACUUUUGGCAUACAUCUGCUCCCCAUGCCAUUGGGCCGUACUGGUCGAUUGAAACGUCCUUGUAUUGUCUCCACCUGGGCCAAUUUGCUGGGUAAGUUGCUUGUUGUCGUGACGCGAUAAUGAGCAUUGAAUGGAGCAAGGAUUGCUGUCAUCCGUCAGCAUCGUGAGAGCCCCCGGCGAGAACGCAACUAAGACGGAAGGAAUCGUACUUUUUUCACGAGUGCAGUUGGUAUCGGUUUGAGAGAACAGUUAUGCCGAUGAAUUUGGUCAUUUUAGGCGAGGCAUCUGGG
rnacentral:sRNA from 1 species